AUCUAGGCCACACCACCCUGAACACGCCCCAUCUCCUCUGAUCUCGUGAAGCUAAGCAGGGUCGGGCCUGGUGAGUACUUGGAUGGAUUCUGCCUGGGAAUAGCUGGUACUGUAGGCU
rnacentral:rRNA from 1 species